rnacentral:rRNA from 1 species
AAAACGACUCUCGGCAACGGAUAUCUCGGCUCUCGCAUCGAUGAAGAACGUAGCGAAAUGCGAUACUUGGUGUGAAUUGCGAGAAUCCCGUGAACCAUCGAGUCUUUGAACGCAAGUUGCGCCCCAAGCCUUCUGGCCGAGGGCACGUCUGCCAGGGUGUCACAA